UACGGAGGAUGCAAGCGUUAUCCGGAAUGAUUGGGCGUAAAGCGUCCGCAGGUGGCUGUGUAAGUCUGCUGUCAAAGAGCGAAGCUCAACUUCGUAAAGGCAGUGGAAACUACACGGCUAGAGUGCGUUCGGGGCAGAGGGAAUUCCUGGUGUAGCGGUGAAAUGCGCAGAUAUCAGGAGGAACACCGGUGGCGAAGGCGGAUCUCUGGGCCUUACCUGACGCUCAGGUGCGAAAGCUAGGGGAGCGAACAGG
rnacentral:rRNA from 1 species